rnacentral:rRNA from 1 species
UACGUAGGGUGCGAGCGUUGUCCGGAAUUAUUGGGCGUAAAGGGCUCGUAGGCGGUUUGUCGCGUCGGGAGUGAAAACGCCGUGCUUAACACGGCGCUUGCUUUCGAUACGGGCAGACUAGAGGUAUGCAGGGGAGAACGGAAUUCCUGGUGUAGCGGUGAAAUGCGCAGAUAUCAGGAGGAACACCGGUGGCGAAGGCGGUUCUCUCGGCAUUACCUGACGCUGAGGAGCGAAAGCGUGGGGAGCGAACAGG